GGUUGUUGUUGUCUCUUCAGAUGUUGUUGUCUCUUCAGGCGUUGUAGUUUCUUCGGUUGCUGUUGUUUCUUCGGGUGUUGUUGUCUCUUCAGGCGUUGUAGUUUUUUCGAUUGCUGUUGUUUCUUCGGGUGUUGUUGUCUCUUGAGGUGUUGUUGUCUCUUCGGGUGUUGUAGUCUCUUCGGGAGAUGUUGUUUCUUUAGUUGUUGUUUCUUCGGGUGUUGUAGUCUCUUCGGGAGUUGUUGAUUCUUCAGUUGUUGUUGUCUCUUCAGGUGUUGUAGUCUCUUCA
rnacentral:sRNA from 1 species